GAGUUUGAUCCUGGCUCAGGACGAACGCUGGCGGCGUGCCUAAUACAUGCAAGUCGAGCGAGCAGAACCAGCAGAUUUACUUCGGUAAUGACGCUGGGGACGCGAGCGGCGGAUGGGUGAGUAACACGUGGGGAACCUGCCCCAUAGUCUGGGAUACCACUUGGAAACAGGUGCUAAUACCGGAUAAGAAAGCAGA
rnacentral:rRNA from 1 species